rnacentral:rRNA from 1 species
AACAAACGCUGGCGGCGUGCCUAACACAUGCAAGUCGUACGAGAAAGGGUCCUUCGGGGCCUGAGUAAAGUGGCGCACGGGUGAGUAACGCGUGGAUAAUCUGCCCUUCAGUUGGGAAUAACUCAUCGAAAGGUGGGCUAAUACCGAAUAAUGCUGUGAGACCUCGGUUGAUCAGCAAAAGAGAGCCUCUGCUUGCAAGCCCUCGCUGAAGGAUGAGUCCGCGUACCAUUAGCUAGUUGGUAGGGUAAUGGCCUACCAAGGCGACGAUGGUUAGCUGGGCUGAGAGGAUGAUCAGCCACACUGGGACUGAGACAGGGUCCAAGAUACUACGGGAGGUACCAGUGAGGAAUCCUGCGCCAUGGGGGCAACCCUGACGCAGCAACGCCGCGUGAGUGAGGAAGGUCUUCGGAUCGUAAAGCUCUGUCGGAUGGAAAGAACCGCAUAGGGGUAAACAGCCCCUGUGUCUGACGGUACCAUCAAAGGAAGCACCGGCUAACUCCGUGCCAGCCGCCGCCGUAAUAC